UCUCAGAAGCAGAUGAAGACUGUAAGACUGUCGCUGCUGUGUGUCCUCAGGUAAUGGCCCACAGCACACCUCAAGGCAUCUUGGACGACGUUGCGAUGGUGCUGGAUGAAGAGGCCGAGGUCUUCAUAGUUAAAAUGUGGAGGUUAUUGAUUUACGAAACUGAAGCCAAGAAGAUCGGCCUCGGGAAAUGAACAAGCAGCGAACGCCCAUGAACUUUGCUUUUUACUUCCCCUUUGGGCCGGACAGCUCAUCUAGGUUUCAAAACAACUUGGGGAAACUCGACCAUUUGUGACCUUUGGAGUUAAUUCAUAUUGAGCCGCGUCCCAGACGCCUCCGUAAGAGCAGCAGCAGCAGCAACGAGUGCCGAGAGGAAGAGGUUUGGUUUCUCAGGGCCUUCCUGUUGAAUCCGUCUUCAGCGUAGCUACGUCUCGGCCGCUUAGCGCUUCUUUCUGUGAGGAAGCCAUUGUAAAUUGUUACUGUAAUGAUUGCCAAUCUCGUCUAGGUUGUGAUUUUACUGUUUCUGUUCUUUUGGUCGCCCUCACCAACCGAACCAAAGAGUUUUCCCCAGUUGUUUCUCUAAAACUAAAGCAGUUGUGAUUGGACCCCGACUCUGUUCGGAAGCUCUCGCUAAACUGAUUGACAUCAAAACGAUUGACUGUCUUUGUUUUUGUACUUAUCAGUGGAUGUGUUUUGAAUAAAAGUGAUUCAUUUGUUUAGUUUUUUUAGUAAAA